rnacentral:rRNA from 1 species
GAUGAACGCUAGCUACAGGCUUAACACAUGCAAGUCGAGGGGAAACGACAUCGAAAGCUUGCUUUUGAUGGGCGUCGACCGGCGCACGGGUGAGUAACGCGUAUCCAACCUGCCCAUCACUUGGGAAUAACCUUGCGAAAGUAAGACUAAUACCCAAUGAUAUCCCACGAAGGCAUCGGAAUGGGAUUAAAGAUUUAUCGGUGAUGGAUGGGGAUGCGUCUGAUUAGCUUGUUGGCGGGGUAACGGCCCACCAAGGCAACGAUCAGUAGGGGUUCUGAGAGGAAGGUCCCCCACAUUGGAACUGAGACACGGUCCAAACUCCUACGGGAGGCAGCAGUGAGGAAUAUUGAUCAAUGGGCGAGAGCCUGAACUAGCCAAGUAGCGUGCAGGAAGACGGCCCUAUGGGUUGUAAACUGCUUUUAUAAGGGAAUAAAGUGGGUCACGUGUGACUUUUUGCAUGUACCUUAUGAAUAAGGACCGGCUAAUUCCGUG